CCAUGCCGUAAACGUUGGGCACUAGGUGUGGGGGACAUUCCACGUUUUSCGCGCCGUAGCUAACGCAUUAAGUGCCCCGCCUGRGRGAGUACGGCCGCAAGGCUAAAACUCAAAGGAAUUGACGGGGGCCCGCACAAGCGGCGGAGCAUGCGGAUUAAUUCGAUGCAACGCGAAGAACCUUACCAAGGCUUGACAUGGACCGGACCGGGCURGAAACAGUCCUUCCCUUCGGGGCUGGUUCACAGGUGGUGCAUGGUUGUCGUCAGCUCGUGUCGUGAGAUGUUGGGUUAAGUCCCGCAACGAGCGCAACCCUCGUUCCAUGUUGCCAGCGGGUUAUGCCGGGGACUCAUGGGAGACUGCCGGGGUCAACUCGGAGGAAGGUGGGGACGACGUCAAAUCAUCAUGCCCCUUAUGUCUUGGGCUUCACGCAUGCUACAAUGGCCGGUACAAUGGGUUGCGAUACUGUGAGGUGGAGCUAAUCCCAAAAAGCCGGUMUCAGUUCGGAUUGGGGUCUGCAACUCGACCCCAUGAAGUCGGAGUC
rnacentral:rRNA from 1 species